rnacentral:rRNA from 1 species
CCCUUAGAUGUUCUGGGCCGCACGCGCGCUACACUGACGAAUGCAACGAGCUUAUAACCUUGGCCGAAAGGUCUGGGUAAUCUUCAAAUUUCGUCGUGAUGGGGAUAGAUUAUUGCAAUUAUUAAUCUUCAACGAGGAAUGCCUAGUAAGCGCAAGUCAUCAGCUUGCGUUGAUUACGUCCCUGCCCUUUGUACACACCGCCCGUCGCUCCUACCGAUUGAAUGGUCCGGUGAAGCGUUCGGACCGUGGCCUUUGGACGGUUCGCCGUCUGUUGGCUGCGGGAAGUUCGUUAAACCUUAUCAUUUAGAGGAAGGAGAAGUCGUAACA